rnacentral:rRNA from 1 species
GAUGAACGCUGGCGGCAUGCUUAACACAUGCGAGUCGGACGGGCAGUGGUUUUUCCAGUGGCGUACGGGUGAGUAACGCGUAAGUACCUGCCCUUGGGAGGGGCACAACAGCUUGAAACGGCUGCUAAUACCCCGCAGCGUGAGGAGCAUAAGGAGGAAUCUGCCCGAUGAGGGGCUUGCGUCUGGUUCUCUAGUUGUUGGGGCAAUAGCUUCCCAAGUCGUUGCCCAGUAGCUGGUUCGCCAGGAUGAUCAUCCACACUGGGACUGUGAUACGGCCGAGAGUCCUACGGAAGGAAGUGCGCGUGAAUAUGCUGCACCGGGCGAUAACCUGACGGAGCGCUGCCGCGUGGAGGAAGAACCACCACGGGUCGUGUUCUGAGAUUCCGGAAGAAGACGCAAUGACGGUAACUGGCAAAUAAGCCACGGCUAACUCUGUG